GCCAAAUUAAAGAAGGAUGUGAAGGUUAGGCUAAGAAGUGUGAUGAGCUUUAUUUAGGUAAUAGGCAAUGAGGAGAAAUUGAAACAUGAAGGAACAUAAUUUGAGGUGUGAUUAUUUGAGUUUUUAAAAUAUUAUCACUGUGCAUCAGAAUGGGUUAGGGAAGGCUUAAAUCCUGGAUGCUGGCUCAGCACCUAUUAGAGCAAUUAAAAUGAGAAAUGAUGCAGACUAAACUAGAAUUUCAGGUAAAAAUGGGAAAAAUAGGCGUUAAAAAAUGGUAUAAACGUUAAAAAACUACACUUGACUGAGUUAGAAUAUGGAGGAAAAGGAAGUAUGGAGAUCAAAAGAAAACAUCAGGAUUUGGGAGCUUGGACACAGGGGAAUGACAACGUAAAGGGAUUAUUUCAAAGAUAAUUUGGCAUAGACACUUCUAGACUCUCCUCUUCAUCUGUGUGUGGUGAAAAAUUAUGUGGUACACAAGACAGAAGAAAAGCCAAACAUACAAGAAACAAAGCAUUCAACAGAAGAUUCAGAGAUGACCCAGAUAUUGAAACUAAAUGGAAAUGCCAAUUCUCAAGCUCAUAUGUAAUUUCAACUGGAUUUUCAAAUGCAAAAUAAGUUGAAUCUCUACCUUAUGCCAUAUAUAAAAAUUAACCCCAAAUGGACUGAAAACAUAAAUAUAAGCAUGAAUAUUAACACUUUUGGAAGAAAUCAUGGGGUAAAUCUUCAUAACCCUGGAUUUGGCAACGAAUUCUUAGUUAUGAUAUCAAUAACAUAAAUAUGGAUAAAUUGGAUUUCAUCAAAAUUAAAAGCUUGUAUGUACCAAAAAUGUUAUCAAAGAAGUAAAAUGACAAUCUAGAAUGGAGGAGAAAAUAUUUGUGAAUCAUAUCUC
rnacentral:lncRNA from 1 species